GGCGAAAUGGCCGAGUGGUCUAAGGCGCUAGAAUCAGGUGGUUAACAAUCUAGUCUUUCGGGGCGUGGGUUCGAAUCCCACUUUCGUCA